AGCGCUUCAGUUUUCAGAGCUCUGAAUUUUUCAUAUUUAUUUCUUUACAUUGCCUUAUCAUCCCUGUCUUGGAAUUCUUGUUUACUGACUGUAACUGCCAAAGUUUUAUUUAUCUUUUGUCUUCUUGCUUUUUUGAGACAGGGUCACAUUUUGUAGUUCAGGCUGUCAAUGUACUGACCAUUGUCUAGGCUGGCCUCAAACUCUCAACCAUCCUCCUGCCUCGGCCUCCUGAGUCUUGAGGUUACAGGCAUGAACCACCAUGCCCAGCUGUUGUCAAGGUUUUAUAGCAUUAAAUAGUCUUGUGUAAUUGUUUUGUCCCUUGGUUAAUGUUUAAUUUCAAAGUGAAGUUUUUAUUUCAUUCUACUUUGUUUAAUUCAAUAUGUUUCAUAGUAGCUGUGACAUUUUUCCUUUUUUAUUCACCUUUUGCUUUCUAUUCUUAUACUACUGUAUUUUACUAUAGAAUCUGUGAUUCUCUCUGACUUUAUCUUGGUAGGCUAGGCCAGAAAUGCACCCUUUCUUUCCAUCACUCCACAAAAUGUCAAUCUCCUACUUGCAGAAACAUAUGGAUAUGCUACUUUGUAUAUUAACCAAAGAAGGUGUGAAAGCGAAAGAUUAUCCUGGGCUCUCUGGGUGACAGACUGGAGAUGUGACAGUAUAAGCAGAGGUUAGAGUGAUGCUCCUUGAAGAAAGGGAAGAAUAGAUGAGGACUGCAUGCAGCUUCUGAAACCUAGAAACCUCUGCCCCUGGAAAAUGAUAACCACAGAGAGAACUGAUAGAGUAAAGGAGGCUGCAGGAGGAUAAGCCACUGCCUGGGACUCAUGGUAAUUACUAGAGAGAAAACAGUUUGACCUUAAAAGAUGCAGUAUGUUCUACACACAAUGGAAGGUAAAAUAACGCUGUCUCAGAGUUCAAACUCUAUAGGACACAAAUGUUCCAAAAGACAGACUGGGGGCUGGCACAGAAUCAUGAAGAAUGAGACUGUCAGCCACAAGAACAGAAUUCCUGAUGAAGACCAGGUUUGGUGUAGUCAAAACUGAGUCUCUCCCAGCUAUCAGGGAAGUGAUGAAGAAGAGUGGCAAAGGAGACAGGUUGGAUUGGGAAGACACAUGAGAAUGUACACAGUAGCAGGAGAAAUUUAAUAAGUGCUGGAACUGUUUGGAUUUAUGAGGUGCUCUCAAAUAUGCACCUCUAUUAUAAUAUGUAUCUGACGUGUAUUUCCAAAUAACUUCAAUAGUAAUGCUAUGAUGUAAUAUUUACUAAUUUCCAUGAUAGAAGCAUGGUUCUAAGCCUAAUCCUCUCUGGUCCUGCCAUAUCCUUGGGGUUGGGAAGAUUCAGAAGUACAGUAUCCCUAGACACAUCAAAGGAUUUCCUUUGUUUAAUCAAUAUCAUCUAUUACAUUUUGGGUAUGAAAGUUCAAGUCAGUGACAGAUGAACAUAGGCAAUAGAUUAAGCAAUCCUGCAGUGCUGUGAAUACGAGUGGGGUCCUGGAACACCAUGGAUGUCAUCAAUAGGUCAUAGAACCCUGCUGAGGCCUUAGUGAUAACUGGUAUCAUACCAACCAGGGUAUCAUACUGAGCGUUACAAAGGACAGUGAUCUGGUAAACAGAUAGUGUCUUAUUUGCUACUUAUUUGCUAUUUUUGGGGGGGUGUAUACAUUUAAUUUCUUAUCUUUACUAAUAAUUCUCUGAGAACAGUCUCAGACUCUUACUUGAUAUCAGCAAUUCUGCAAAGAGUUGAACCAUGAAACAUAAAGAGAGGAAAAAACACCAGAAGAAGAAACUCUUAAAACAACCUGUGAAAAAGUCAAGGGGUACAAGAGGUUUUUGAGGAAUCUCCUCACCGAUUUCCACAGUGGUUGCCAGUCUACAUGCACACUAACAGAGGAAAAGGGUUCCUUUGUACAGAGGGGCUGGAAGAAUGUUCUUGUCUUUAUUUUACUUUCAGGAAAGUUGGAUUUACAAGAUGUUCUGCAGGGUAGAGCCAAGG